rnacentral:lncRNA from 1 species
UUGCUUUCAUUCAAAAUCAUAGAUUUUCUAAAAUGCAUUUAUAUCUCUUUCUGUUCUUCGGAACUUAAUCAGCCUCUUGGCUUUCCUAGAUAGUCAUAAGGUUGAAAACCAACAAUCUUUAUCCCAGACUAUAAAACCAAAUUCAGAACACAUCCCAACUUUCCCCCUGGAGUAAUAAGGAACUUAUUAGACUAAAGGUCAAUGAGGGAGAAACUGUACUUGUUGCAGCAAAUAAGGAUGUGAGGGAUAGUGUACCCACAGCUCUACCUCUCAAGAAGAAAAGGUGU